CAGCCGCCGCGGUAAUACCAACCCCGCGAGUGGUCGGGACGUUUAUUGGGCCUAAAGCGUCCGUAGCCGGCCCGGUAAGUCCCUCCUUAAAGCCCACGGCUCAACCGUGGGAGCGGAGGGAUACUGCCGGGCUAGGGGGCGGGAGAGGCCGGGGGUACUCCUGGGGUAGGGGCGAAAUCCUAUAAUCCCAGGAGGACCACCAGUGGCGAAGGCGCCCGGCUAGCACGCGCCCGACGGUGAGGGACGAAAGCUGGGGGAGCAAAGGGGACUAGAUACCCCCGUAGUCCCAGCUGUAAACGAUGCAGGCUAGGUGUUAGGCGGGCUUCGUGCCCGCCUAGUGCCGUAGGGAAGCCGUUAAGCCUGCCGCCUGGGGAGUACGGCCGCAAGGCUGAAACUUAAAGGAAUUGGCGGG
rnacentral:rRNA from 1 species